CGAAGGUGGCAAGCGUUGUUCGGAAUCACUGGGCAUAAAGAGCACGUAGGCGGCUAAGUCAGUCGGAUGUGAAAUACCUCGGCUCAACCGAGGAACUGCGUCCGAUACUGCUUGGCUUGAGGUCCGGAGGGGAGAGUGGAAUUCCCGGUGGAGCGGUGAAAUGCGUAGAGAUCGGGAAGAACGCCGGCGGCGAAAGCGACUCUCUGGUCGGAAUCUGACGCUGAGGUGCGAAAGCUAGGGGAGCAAACGGGAUUAGAUACCCCGGUAGUCCUAGCCAUAAACGAUGGACGCUAGGUAGUGGUCGUUCCUAUGCGAUCACUGCUGGAGCAAAUGUCUUAAGCGUCCCGCCUGGGAAGUACGGUCGCAAGACUA
rnacentral:rRNA from 1 species